ACAGAGGGUGCGAGCGUUGUUCGGAAUUAUUGGGCGUAAGGGCGCGUAGGCGGUGCCACAAGUCACUUGUGAAAUCCCCGGGCUCAACCUGGGAACUGCAUUCGAAACUGGCAGGCUAGAGUCUUGUAGAGGGGGGUAGAAUUCCAGGUGUAGCGGUGAAAUGCGUAGAGAUCUGGAGGAAUACCGGUGGCGAAGGCGGCCCCCUGGACAAAGACUGACGCUCAGGUGCGAAAGCGUGGGGAGCAAACAGGA
rnacentral:rRNA from 1 species